CCCUUAGAUGUUCUGGGCUGCACGCGCGCUACACUGAUGCGCUCAACGAGUUUACGACCUUGCCCGGAAGGGUUGGGUAAUCUUUUUAAAACGCAUCGUGAUGGGGAUAGAUUAUUGCAAUUAUUAAUCUUUAACGAGGAAUUCCUAGUAAGCGCGAGUCAUCAGCUCGUGCUGAUUACGUCCCUGCCCUUUGUACACACCGCCCGUCGCUCCUACCGAUUGAGUGAGCCGAUGAAACUGCCGGAUGUGGACUAUUCAUAGUCUGCAGAAGAUAUUUGAAUCGUAGCGCUUAGAGGAAGGAGAAGUCGUAACA
rnacentral:rRNA from 1 species